CUCAACGAACACAACACUACAAGAGAAAAAAAAAACAAAUAAAAAUGGAGAAAGCUUCUUUGAAGUUGGUGUUGGUGUUUGUUUUGGUAUUUUCCACGACCUGUUUUCCAGAAGGAGCUGAAGCCCUUGGAUAUUGUUCAAGUGACUCUGAUUGUCUCUCCCGCUGCCCAACAGGCUGCACAGAUGCUCAUUGUCAGUACGUAGCAGAAGGUGAUUUCGAGUGCUAUUGCGGCCUAAAUCCCUGUCUUGGGUGAUCAUCAUAUAUAAUACAUGCAUCGCUUUGAUAUUCAUAUAUAUUGAGCUGAUCAUCAGAAUAAAUUCCUGAUGCAAUAACAGGGGUGAUCUUGUAUCUCUUUUAAUUUAUAAUAAUACAACUAAGUGAUAAAUUAA